GACGAACGCUGGCGGCGUGCUUAACACAUGCAAGUCGAGCGGUAAGGGCCCUUUCGGGGGUACGACGAGCGGCGAACGGGUAGAGUAACACGUGGGUGACCUGCCCUCCAGCUCUGGGAGUAAGCCUGGGAAACCGGGUCUAAUACCGGAUAUGACUCCAUGACGCAUGUUGUGGGGUGGAAAGCCUUGUGCGGCUGAGGAUGGGCCCGCGGCCUAUCAGCUUGUUGGUGGGGUGAUGGCCUACCAAGGCGACGACGGGUAGCCGGCC
rnacentral:rRNA from 1 species